AACGAACGCUGGCGGCAGGCUUAACACAUGCAAGUCGAACGCCCCGCAAGGGGAGUGGCAGACGGGUGAGUAACGCGUGGGAACAUACCCUUUUCUACGGAAUAGCUCUGGGAAACUGGAAUUAAUACCGUAUACGCCCUACGGGGGAAAGAUUUAUCGGGGAAGGAUUGGCCCGCGUUGGAUUAGCUAGUUGGUGGGGUAAAGGCCUACCAAGGCGACGAUCCAUAGCUGGUCUGAGAGGAUGAUCAGCCACAUUGGGACUGAGACACGGCCCAAACUCACGGGGGGGGCAACAGGGGGAAAUAUGGGAAAGGGGGCGAGACCCUGCCCCCGCCACGCCGUGAGAGAGAAAAGGGUUUUGGGGGUAAAAAGCUUUUACCCCGGAGAAGAAAAAGGGGGUAGGGGGAAAAAACCCCCCCGAAAACUUC
rnacentral:rRNA from 1 species